rnacentral:rRNA from 1 species
UACGGGAGGCAGCAGUAGGGAAUAUUGCACAAUGGGCGAAAGCCUGAUGCAGCUAUGCCGCGUGUAUGAAGAAGGCCUUAGGGUUGUAAAGUACUUUCAUCGGGGAGGAAAAAACAAAACUAAUAAUUUUAUUUCUUGACGUUACCCGAAAAAGAAGCACCGGCUAACUCCGUGCCAGCAGCCGCGGUAAUACGGAGGGUGCUAGCGUUAAUCAGAAUUACUGGGCGUAAAGAGCACGUAGGUGGUUUUUUAAGUCAGAUGUGAAAUCCCUGGGCUUAACCUAGGAACUGCAUUUUGAAACUGAAAUACUAGAGUAUCGUAGAGGGAGGUAGAAUUCUAGGUGUAGCGGUGAAAUGCGUAGAUAUCUGGAGGAAUACCUGUGGCGAAAGCGGCCUCCUAAACGAAUACUGACACUGAGGUGCGAAAGCGUGGGGAGCAAACAGGGAUUAGAUACC